rnacentral:sRNA from 1 species
UCGUCCGAAAAAUUGUCACAAUGAAUUCAAGAAUUUCUUUCUACCAACCGUGCACAAAGGUUCAACAAAAUCUUGAUUCGAAUCUUUAUUCUUUCCAAUAUUUACCAUUAUGGCAUUCUUGUGGUUGUUAUUUGAUACCUCCAAAAGCGAGGGACGGAAGCUCAUCAAUAGUCAGUUCGAGUUUCACAUUUGUGGUUGUGUCGGUCAACACUGGACAAUAUAACCAUCUGGUUAUAAUGUGAAGGAGAGGAGUAAACCUAAAAUGUUCAUAUCUCCGACAAUUUCCUUUGGUAGCCCAACACGUGCGCAGUUGUAUCAGCUUUUUAGCCAUCGGCGAAUGAGAUUAAAACUCCUAAUAAAUCUACUGCGG